CACAGACAGGAUGAAUGGAAGGGUAUUUCCCAUUCUCCCAAAUUACUGCUUCAUUCUUUAUGCUUGUUCAUUCACUGCCCUCCAGUGAGAUAAUUGAUACACCAUUGGGGAGUUCCCACUUGGCACUGUUGUCUCCUUCAGCGCAGUUUCCUGCAUUCCCACAGCGAAGGGAGCUCUCCAUCUUAAAAUACCAACGGCAUUAGAUACAGAAGCUCCAAAGUUGUGCUGUCAGCAGGAGGUAAAAGAAAACAGUUUGGGGGUUUUUUUUAAAAAAGGAAUCUUGUUAUGUUACAGACAGAGGAAAUGAAGGCUGUGGUGUUACUGCUGAUUAUUAGCAUUGGUGCUCAAACAGAUGUCUCAUACAAAAUACAAAGUCACUUAAAAGUGUCUGAUUUUUCUUUUUUUCCAGAAUGUUCCACCUAUAUGAACCCAGGUCCUGCCCUUCCCCCAGCUGUUAUUUUGUUAUUACUCCUGUAUACAGUGAACACAUUUGGAUGGGAAAAUUGGCUUCUUAUCAUUUUAGGCCAGCCCUUGUUUGUAUUAGAAUUCGUUCAUUAGAAUUUGCCAAUGCCAAAAUCCUCUGGCAUCCUAUCCUAUUUUUAAUCAAGUUAAAAAUCAUGCCAUGAGCAAGUUUUCAUGACUCUGGUAACAGUAGCAUCCCAGUGAUCUCCCUGUGUACUCUUCCCCAUUAUCCUACAUGAGAGAAAAGUAAGAUCAUAUGCCUUUGUCAGCAUCAAACAUUUUCCUCUCAUGGAAAACAAUAUUGAAAUCCAGCAUGCCUCAGGCUCAAUACAUAUAUCAAAGCUGUUGAUUGCAGCAUCUGCAACAAAUGGCUUUUUUUUUUUUUUUAGUUUUCCUGAAUAUGCUGUAAAUAAUACAAUUUGACAAUCUGCUUUUUUAGAUUUUUAAAAAAAAUAUUUAAGUUGCAGCUGAAUAAAGCUGUCCAAGAAAAGAGUGAAAACUGUAUAUCUAAUUCAUAAUUGGGAAUGUUUUCCCCCUCUCUCUCAUCACCCUUUUUAAAAGGAGAGAGAUGACAUGUAAAAUGAAAAGCAAAGAAAGAUCGUUUAUGGAUAUCUCGACAAACUGUCUUCAGAGUCUUGGCACAAUCCAUCAUGAAGUUACGUAUUUUAUUUUCUAUUUCUUCUUGAUAAAAUCAGAGUAGCAGGUAUAAUAUCUGGACUGAUAUAAUCAAUUUAUUAGAAUUGUGGUGUGACUUUGCUGGCCCCAAUCCAGAGAAAAGCACUGGGCUUAAGUUACAUGGGCUGUAUCCAUACCCAAAGUCAACCGUUUGAAAUUAAUUCACAUGACUAACUUAAGUCCAUUCAUUUCAGAGGGGCUAUUCUGAGUAAAACUAAGUUAGAAAUUAAUACGUUACUAAUUUAAGCCCCUUGGGACACGGGUG